GGUGACUGUGUGUUUCAUCAGCCUGUUUGUGGUGGGUUAAAAAAUCGCUGUGUAUUGUGAAAAUUUUAUGUACAUAAAGUAUUGAGGGCUACGGUAUACAAAACAAGUCACAGUGCUUAGCAGCUUUCUGUAGCUUAGGUUAUAAAAUGUAUUAUAUGGAACAUGAGAAUUUUAUUAAGAAAAAUUAUGUCCCCCCACUUUAAGACUCCAAACCAGCUUUCCUUAGCUGUAACCAUUACAAUAUUAGGGUCUUUUCCCUAAGAUUUUGGAAGGAGGAAGCUCUUCACCACCACCGUUGUUAGUGAAUUAUGUAGAAGAGCACUUUCAUAUGGCUUUCUUCAUCACAUACCCCUUUCCUCAUCACAUAUCCCCAUUUAAUGCACUAAACUGGCUGUUUAAAAAUGUGAUCAUGUUAAUAGAGAAUCCUUUCCAUUGAAUGAUGUUGAAUUUCAGAAAGGUAAAUUGUUGAUCAUGGAUACAACUUCAUUGGUGUAGAAGUAAAUGUUAUUGAUUCUCUAAGUAAAACAUUAGUUUUGACUUAGUAAACUUAAAAGUUUUAUAUAACUGGAUUUUUACUAUAUAGAGUUAUUCCUUAAAAAUAGAUAGGAGUUUUUAAUAAAUUUUUAUAGAUAAUUGGAUGUUUUUAUAGAUUAGUAAUACUGUGCUUUUUUUUUUUUGGUAAUAAUGUGUUUUAGAUGUGUGAAACUUUGAAUCUAAUUGUUUGUAGCAUAGGAUAAACCACUGCCUCUUAAUUCCUUUAGCAGUUUUAGUAGAUUAUAAUAGAUUAAAAUUUGUGCAGGAAAUCAGUGCUCCUUAA
rnacentral:lncRNA from 1 species